GGAACACAAUUUCUGCAGCUCCUGAGGAGACGUUAUGUUCGAUUAACAUGUGCUUCAGGUUGGUUCAACUCUCCUAACAAAUGUCUGUAUGAUAUUAUCACUACCACUGCUGGCAGCACAUAAUUAUGUGACAUUGUACUGGGUACACUUCAUGGUUGGAUCAUGGCUGUAAUUUAUGGUACAGGUGUCUAAAGGUUUGUAAUUGACACACCUAUGCUAUGUCACACUGUGUAUAUUUAGAAAGACAACAUUUAUUUGUUAAUCCUUAGCCUUGCAACCAGGAGCAAGAUGAGCCAGGCUUACAUAUUCUGAGAGUGUCUUUAUAGUUUGACAUCAUCUUCUCAAGUCCCUGAGUGGCUUUUAAGAACACUUGUGUAGAAGGAAUUAGAAGAAGGAGUACUGCACUCAAUGAGUAGUGUGGUUCAUCCUCCCAAGGUUUUUUCUAUAAACAUGUUUGGCUUCCGAGGCUAAACUAUUUUAGGUGUUAAAGUACAUGUACCUUUUUCAUGGGAGCUGUGCGAAAUGUUUUGAAAUGUAUUAAAUUUUGCUGGUGAUUGCUCCUAUAAACAGACAUUUAAUUAUUUAAUGCCAAUACCUUAAUUAUCAUUGAUGUCACUUUCUUUAAGUAGAAGGAGAAGAGUAAAAUGCUUUGGAUCAUACCAUGAUGACUUGUGUAUUUUGUCAAUAACAACAACAACUAACUUUAUCACCAAAUUGAGAAGUUAAACUUAAUUUGCACACAUAAUAUAUUAAUACAAAAAAAGGUAACAUUUACUCAGAAUAACUGAAAAGCUAAUCCAGCUGAGUAAAAGUAAAUAAUGUUUAAAUAUAGGACGUAGGUUGGCACUAAAGCUCGAGCAAAGCAAAUUAUUGGUCAAAAAAAAAGAGGACAAAAAAUAAAUUUUAAAAAAUCAGAUAAAGAAAAAAGAAAAAGAAGAAGAAGAGACCAGUUGAAAACUCAUGAACAGUAAGACUGUAAGAUGUUUAAUUUGACUUUGUUUUUAAAUGUUUUAAGGGGGAGGUGUUUAAUGCUUUCGUCAAGGUGAUUCCAAACUUUUACAGCUGCGAAGCGAAUGUUGAAUUUACCAUAGUUCAAUUCCAUUAAUUUGUUGACUAAAGCAAGAAAGCUGGCUUGGGACAAAAUGUUACCAUUCAAGGGUAAACAAUAUACUGUACAUAUUGUGUCAAAAGAGGUGAGCAGUCUGGAUCAGUGUAGGAAGUUGAGUGAUAAAGCUGCUACAUGAAAUACAUGUACCUAUAUCAGUCUCUUGGUCAGCUGGCAGUUCAUAUACUUUCUCCCAUGUGAGCAAUACAGAUCGCUGUCUUAGUAAAGAAGAGAGAAUACACCUUUUUUUCUAAUCAUAGUAACAACCAAGGGGAAAAUUUGUGAAUUUCAUUUAGGAUGUUGUGCAUGCAUUCUUCCAAUCUUAUUGCCUGGUAAGAAAAUGUUGGGUUUUUUUCCCAACUAGAAAAUUAAUUGUUGUUAACAUCAUCAAAAUGACAGCAACCUAUCUUUUAAACCAUUCAAUUUCAAAGUUUUCAUUGACUUGUGUUGCUGAGAGCUACUUGUAACUUUAGCCAAGGUAAAUGAACUAGCUUAUUUCAUGACUGAAUAUUAGACUCAUGUUCAAUUUUGUUGAAUUGUGUGUAUAGCUGAGUGCUUAGGAUGUGUCUUGCCUCUAAGCCAGCCAAACCACACCACUUAUUGUUACAUUAUUUUUGCAGUUUUUUUGCCUGAAUUUUCCUUCCAGCAACAGGAGAAAUUACUAGUAACUCUAAAGUAAAUCCAAUCAUACAUGAUUCAGAGGACAAUUUUGAUAUUACAUAAUAAUAUUACUAAAAGACAGAAAGCUUUUUGUUUUGUGAAAAUGACUGCAUUCCAUUCAUUUUUUUUUCUGACAGUGAAUGUUCUUUAUUCCUGUCCUGAAGUCAUUUUAUAAAAUGGAGUACAGUUUACAGCUUGUGAUUUAAUGAUAAGCUGUCCAAGACUGGGGUAAAAAAUUAAUGUUGCUCACAAGUGAUAUUCAACUUUCAUUCAUACCACCUUAAUGGCUUCUUUGUAAUUCCACUUGAAAUAAGAAGGUGGCAAAUGCAAUUAAUUGUUGAAAUACGAAACACAGUGGCUGUCUUUAGUCAAUGGAAAUGAUGGUGGAGGCUUGUAGUUUGUAUCUUGAUAUUGGUCUUAAUAAAAAAUAAUGGUGUAAAAGACAUUUUCUUCUUGGGCAAAUGAAAAUAAAAACUUAUUCAAAUUUUGCACCAAUCUGUGGGUUGUUGUUUUUUAUUUCAGUUGAAUAUCCUAAAGCAUUUUCUUCUCUUUGUUAAAAGAUCAGUAACAUUUUGAGUCUAUUAGUUUGAGAAAUAGUACUGUGUUUUAAUUUGCCAUUAUCAUUUUGUAUGCUGUAUGUAAAAAUUGUGUUCAACAGGAAAUUACAAUUAAACCAAUAUAUGUUUCUCUUGAUCAUCCAAUAGGGUUUUUUUCUUAAUGAAUGAUAUGAUACUGAUGUUAUUAACAGUACAUGCUGAUAUUGUCCAACAGGUAGCUACUACAUGUAAGUUCAAUGAGUGAUUUUGACUAAAAAUAAUAAAAUGCAGUAUACCCUCAUAUAUCUCUGUUCACUUCCUAUUUAGCACUAGUCUCAAAUCAUCAACUUGCAUACCUCAAAAGCUACUGGUGCAUGUAUGCAUACCUUUACCUUUCCAAACACAAUAAGGAUUUGAAUUAAGAAACAUAAUUCCAGUCUCUUUAUGUAUCUGGUGUUAUUUGACAAUCCUUUAAAAAUCAUUGUGACCCUUUACUUCUAGGAACUGAAGCAUCCUCAUGAACAUCAUCGUGUAUACAACAAGAGUUUAACUGAUGUGUGGCUGAAACUGUUAUAUCAUUGCAUUAUUUUCUUAGUAUUUUUUGUUGUAUGGAAAAUGAAUGAUUAAUAAAGAGUUAAUAAAUGACA